rnacentral:rRNA from 1 species
ACGGGGAGCACCACAACGGGUGGAGCUUGCGGUUUAAUUGGAUUCAACGCCGGAAAUCUUACCGGGACCGACAGCAGUAUGAAGGCCAGGCUGAAGACUUUGCCGGAUUAGCUGAGAGGAGGUGCAUGGCCGUCGUCAGUUCGUACUGUGAAGCAUCCUGUUAAGUCAGGCAACGAGCGAGACCCACGCCAACAGUUGCCAGCAUGUCCUCCGGGAUGAUGGGGACACUGUUGGGACCGCCUCUGCUAAAGAGGAGGAAGGAAUGGGCAACGGUAGGUCAGCAUGCCCCGAAUUAUCCGGGCUACACGCGGGCUACAAUGGUCAGGACAAUGGGUAUCGACACCGAGAGGUGGAGGCAAUCUCCUAAACCUGUCCUUAGUUCGGAUUGUGGGCUGCAACUCGCCCACAUGAAGCUGGAAUCUGUAGUAAUCGUGUCUCAAAAUGGCACGGUGAAUAUGUCCCUGCUCCUU